rnacentral:snRNA from 1 species
AAUCUCUGGCUUCUGGUCAGAGGUUGUCUGAAAACACCUCUUGCUUCUGGACUAAAAUGAGGAUAAGACUUUCGCCUUUUACUAAAGUCUUCCGUGUCCAGGAGUGCAAAAUGAGUAUGUAGACUAUUUUUUGCAAGUUCUGUCUUCGGAUGGGACA